rnacentral:tRNA from 1 species
ACCUGGGUGGCUCAAUCAGUUGAGCGUCUGACUUUGGCUCAGGUCAUGGUCUCACGGUUCAUGGGUUCGAGCCCCGUGUCGGGCU